rnacentral:misc_RNA from 1 species
GUAAAACUGAACACCUCCAGAACUUUUUUUUUGGAGGGCGAAUCACUAAAAUUUUACUGAUUUUUGUCCUAAUAUACAUUUUCUCCCCUCAACUUUACACGUUAGUCCUUGAUGUAUAAGACAUGAAUUUUUAUUAUAAUUUAGUUCUUGUCAUUUUUAGUUAGAUGAGAAUUUAGUCCUUGAAAUUUUGAACUAUUUCACUUUAGCCCCUCAACUCAACUCAACUGAACUAAG